AACGAACGCUGGCGGCAGGCCUAACACAUGCAAGUCGAGCGGGGUUUUCGGACCUAGCGGCGGACGGGUGAGUAAUGCGUAGGAGGCUACCCGAUAGAGGGGGAUACCAGUUGGAAACGACUGUUAAUACCGCAUAAUGUCUACGGACCAAAGUGUGGGACCUUCGGGCCACAUGCUAUCGGAUGCGCCUACGUGGGAUUAGCUAGUUGGUGGGGUAAUAGCUCACCAAGGCGACGAUCCCUAGCUGGUUUGAGAGGAUGAUCAGCCACACUGGAACUGAGACACGGUCCAGACUCCUACGGGAGGCAGCAGUGGGGAAUAUUGGACAAUGGGCGCAAGCCUGAUCCAGCCAUGCCGCGUGUGUGAAGAAGGCCUUCGGGUUGUAAAGCACUUUCAGUAGGGAGGAAGGGUGUUGUGUUAAUAGCACAGCAUUUUGACGUUACCUACAGAAGAAGCACCGGCUAACUCUGUGCCAGCCGCCGCAGUAAAAC
rnacentral:rRNA from 1 species